rnacentral:rRNA from 1 species
UGGGGAAUAUUGGACAAUGGGCGCAAGCCUGAUCCAGCCAUGCCGCGUGGGUGAAGAAGGCCCUAGGGUUGUAAACCCCUUUCAGCGGGGAAGAUAAUGACGGUACCCGCAGAAGAAGCCCCGGCUAACUCCGUGCCAGCAGCCGCGGUAAUACGGAGGGGGCUAGCGUUGUUCGGAAUUACUGGGCGUAAAGCGCGCGUAGGCGGACUUUCAAGUCAGGGGUGAAAUCCCGAGGCUCAACCUCGGAACUGCCUUUGAUACUGUAAGUCUUGAGUCCGAGAGAGGGAAGUGGAAUUUCCGGUGUAGCGGUGAAAUGCGUAGAUAUCGGAAGGAACACCAGUGGCGAAGGCGACUUCCUGGGCCAAUACUGACACUGAGGUGCGAAAGCGUGGGGAGCAAACAGGAUUAGAUACCCCCGUAGUCC